rnacentral:tRNA from 1 species
CGCUCGGUGGCGCAGCAGGAAGCGCAGCUCCCUCAUAAGGAGAAGGUCGCGGGUGCGAGUCCCGCCCGAGCGCCCA